AUAGGGCUGGCAAAUGAGCGAACCGGCUCGUGUUCGACUCGCGUUCGACUCGAUAUUUGGCUCGCUCGAGUUUGACUCGAAAUUAAAUGAGCCUUGAAUUAAAAAAAAGGCUCGAAAUUCAUUUCAAGCCAAUCUUAAGUAUUACUUGGCUUGUUCGAAUUAGGCUUGAAAAGCUUGAAAAACUCAAAUAUAUAUAUAUAGUAGAGCUACUAUGCUAUCGAAAGUAUAAAGGAUCUGGUGAUUUCUAUUUUUUGAUUCUUAGAUCAAUCCCUUUAAUCAUUUCUUAUCUUUGGAUUAGUACUAUCAUUACCUUGUAGGGACCACUCAAUACUAAAAAUAUUAUUUAAUCCUAGGGGACCGCAAUCAUCCCAACCAUACAAUUCUUAAUCAAAAGGUCAAAAAUUGGAAAACAUCAAAUCCUCUAUAUUUUCGAUAGCAUAGUUCUACACUAUAUAUAUAUAUAGUCCGGCUACUAUGCUAUCGGUAGCACGGAGCGCUCCGUGCUACCGAGUUGUUUUCGAUGAUGCAGCUUCUGAAUCGACGAUCGGCUCCGUUAAACUUCAUCUACACUAUUGAAAGUAUUUGCAAACUAAAUUUAAAAUUUUUUCGACAUCAUUUGACUAGUGAUCAAAAGAUCUCAAAAUUGACAAUUUUAAUGGCCGAUGUAGUGUGUUUGUGAGUUUAACCGGUGUAAAACAACCAAAUGCGAUAAAAAUUUUAUAGAAAAUUUUUUUCACUAUUUAGAGUAAGAUCAGUAUAUCUGAUCUUGAAUUUAAAUCUUUUAUCAUCAUUUUUUAUGA
rnacentral:lncRNA from 1 species